UACAGAGGGGGCAAGCGUUGUUCGGAAUUACUGGGCGUAAAGGGCGCGUAGGCGGCCUGCUAAGUCGAACGUGAAAUCCCCGGGCUCAACCCGGGAACUGCGUCCGAUACUGGCAGGCUUGAAUCCGGGAGAGGGAUGUGGAAUUCCAGGUGUAGCGGUGAAAUGCGUAGAUAUCGGGAGGAACACCAGUGGCGAAGGCGACUACCUGGCCCACUCUUGACGCUGAGGCGCGAAAGCUAGGGGAGCGAACGGG
rnacentral:rRNA from 1 species